GGAGAGAAAAAAAAGGAACUCCCUCACAAAAAAAAAGAAAUCUAUUUAUUAACAUAUUUAUCCGAGAAAAAAGAAAAACAAAUCCGGAAAAAAAAAACAUGUACGAGAGAAAAAAUUCAGAGAAAGAUCUUGGAACAAACCCUAGAAACAAAUCAUUAAUGGCUGCAAAAUCAUGAUGAGUGCAGAAACAUAACAUAAUAUCUCCUUCAUUGAAUCUCCAAUUCUCUUUUCUCUUCGACUUCUCACAGAAUUGUAACACCGAGGGUUCGAGAUCGAGAAUUUAAUGAUAAAGAAGAUCGUUGUCUGAUUCCGUUGGCAGAGUAUAUGGGGAAGAAAUUGAUGGUGGUCUGUUGAUAUCGAGAAGAAGGAAUUGAUGGAAAUUUUCUAAAUUAGGGUUUGGAUUGAGAUAUGAAGAUGAUUCUGAUAAUACUGGUGUUAAUAGCGAGGAAUUGGAAUUGGGUUUUGUCUGAAUUAGGUUUUGAGAUGUUGGUGACGAGCUCUGUCCAGAAGAAUUGAUAUUAGGUUUGGUGAUCUGAGCGAAUUCUGUUUAGAUUUCGGUAAUCUUUUUCGAUUAUCCUGUUGAAUUCAGAGAAGCAGAUUCAGAGUAAACAUCGAGGAAUUGAAGUGGUUUUGAUUGAAGUAGGUUUGGGUUUGACUCGAAUUAACAGUUCAGAGAAGAUGAUAAUGGUAAAAUUGGAGUUAGGGUUUCUGGUGAAAUUGGAGUUAAGGUUUCUUGAUUUGUCCUGAUUGCUCUGUGAUUGAUUUCUCGGUUGAUGCACGAAUUUCUCGAAAUUGUGGCCCUCAGGUUGAUCAUGCAGAGAAGCUUGAAAAAGGAGUGUCAGAAUUGAGAACUGACUGUCGUGGGCUUGAGGUCUAUGUUUAUGGUAUCAGAAGUCAUUGUGAGCAGCAACACCAGUUUAAUCACUGUUACUACAGAAAGUGGUGAGUACCCUUCAGGAACAUACUAGGAAGAUCAAUGAAGCAUGAAGGAUUUUUAUGUACCCAAUCAGAGCAAGCACAACAGACACCUGGCCCCUACUGAUAAUCCAGACUGAUCCGUGAACGUUUGAUUGUGGAAGACCUUCCAUUCCUAGAAAAGACCUACAGAUUUUGGCACCACUAACUUAUCUGGGUUUUCUUUUAGUAUCUAUAUCUAUCAUUCUCGAAUCUUUGGCAGGGAUGGUGGUACUCUGGGAACUUUCCUUACGGAAUGGGUAGAUAUGCUCAGUUCAGUUUAGCAGAUGGGGGAUUGAUGUGUGAUGUUGUCCAUUAUGGGGCUGUGAAGAAAGCAUACUUAAUUAAAAUUCCCUCUUUGGAUUCGACAUGAUGAUUCUGCCUUUCUAGACUAUCCUCUGAGGACUUCCAAUACUAGAUUCUUGAGCAUGCUAUAGAUGGAAAAUCCAAGAUAACAUUGAGGUACUCAUAUAAGUAGUUUUUGAAGUUGUUGAGGAGCUAGAUGUUCCUGAGAAUAAAUUCAUAUAAGGGCAAAAUCAGUUUCUUUAAUAAGUGAAUAGAGUUCAAAAGAUAACAGUGGUUUGGUUGUAUGGAUUGCGCUUGACAACCACCCUCUAUAUUGUGAAGCACACAAUUUAUUUUGUGUCCAUAUUGAUGCGCUAAAGGUACGUGCAUAUCGAUUCCUUUGUCUUGCUGCUUUGUUUCUUAAGAUUUCUUAUUUUAUAUUUCAUAUGAGCAUAAUAAUUCAUGUGAAUCACUAAAAUCUUUUGGAACCUCACCUGCGGAUAGAAACGGAUGCAUUGAAUUAAGUACAUGGUUUUGAACUUGCAACUAAUAUUAUUUUGAUAAUGAUCACAUCCCACACUUUCCGCUUCCUCUAGGCAGUGUACGUAGGCUGUAAGAUUUUCUGCCCAUGUGGUAUACUGGUGAGUUGCAGUUUCAAUGUAGAAUCAGUUCCACUUUCUCCCAGAUGAUAACAUUGUAUUACCGAAGUUUUUAGAACUAUAAUUUGAAAGCGGAAAUUUACCCAAAAGAUACAACUGAUUGCAAUAUUGAACCUCUUGACAUGCAUAAUUGUUAUAAUUUUAGUUUUGAGUUAAUCAACCUAGCCAGUGUUUCUUUAUCAGUAUAGUGAUUUGGUAUCAAUUUAAAAUGUAAUUGUCAUAUGUAAUGGAAAGGUAUUUAUGUAUCCAUUAUGACAUUGUUCCUUUUACUAAGCUUAAGAAGUGCUGACAAGGUUUGGUUAAAGUUCAAAAGGAUGUGGUGAUUAUAGACACAGACCUAUUCCUCCAAAUUCGAUUGCCAAAGCUUUUGCGUGUAUUUAAGCCAAGGAGAUAGCGAUGCUAAUGCAUUUUUUAUAAUGAUAUAAUUGUAGGGGGAUAAAUUAUAUUAUCCCCCUACAAUCAUCUCCUCUUUUCUCUUUAACCUUCGACCCUAAUUUCAGAUGUUUAUCCGUUUCAAUCGAAUCAGCUUAAUGAAAAACAACAAUCUGGGGCUGUGCUGGAAUUGGGGAUUUCGUCAAAGUCCAUAUUUCAUAUCUCAUACACCGAGAAACAGUAAUUGGGGAUUUUUGGAGCUGUGCUGUAAUUGGGGAUUUUUAAAUUUGAUUCAAAUCAGUUGAAAUGUCAUUAAUCAGUAGAGUUUUUUUAUAUAUCGAACUCUUUAAUCUUCUUUUCGUGAAUUUCCGGCGCAAUCAAAACCGGUAAUUCAAAUUUGGAUUUUUGGUUUAGGGUUCAGUAGUAUUCGAUUUGCGUUUGGUUUUUUCUGAUGGUUCAAUUAUAAGGUUUGUUGAUGGAAUAUAACAUCGUUUAAUGUCGACAGUUGUGUUCAUGGGAGACCCAGAUGGAUUUGGAGUUUAAGCUUCCCCAUGAUCUAGCACGGGACAAUCAGAGGUUGAAUUGGAGCUGUGAUCGUUGAGCAGUUUUCAUGGAUUUGCAUCCAAUUAUAGUCACCACUGAGUGCAUGAAAGAAGUUAAGUGUUCAUGGACCAUCGAAACUGCCACGGACUGGUAAUUGUGCCUUUGUUAUGUUGUUACUCUAUCAGCAUUCCCAAAACGGAAGAGUGUUUUAUUAUUUCGAUUUGAUAUAACAUAGUUUCGACGGCAAGAUUGAGACUAUUCUUAGUCGUCAGAACCAGCUAGCUUGCAAUGAGUUCUAUUUGAGAGUUGUUAGUCAGGUGGGUGUCCCUUGGAGUAUCAAUACGCAUCCCAAGUUUAUGAUUCUGUCCCUAGGUCUCAUAGAAAAAAAUUAAUUGCACAACAAAUGAGGUAUUCAGCUCAAGCUUCGGCGACAAGAGGCAUUAAACAAGGGACAUGAUGGACAGUCCAGUGAUGCCAAACUCCCAUGUUUAUUCCAGCGUCACAAUCUAUUGUUAAGAAGAGACAUCGAUUCAGUAUAUACUGGCAUAUGACAUAGAGAUACCAAUAUGUGUGAAGACUAAAGUUGGUUGGAGUCCAUCAACUUAAGAAUAAAUAAUGGCGGCAUCUGCGAUAGGCUCUUUCUUAUGGAUGGGGUGAAUAUAAUGAAGCCUAAGGAACACGAGACUUGAAAGGGGAUCCAUAGAAUAAGGAGCUUGCAGAUAGCUUACUAAAGGUAUAUCUCUUUUGCAAUUAAUAAUUGCAGGUGAAUAUUUCAGUUUUAGGAUUUGGGCAUCUACAGGUUUGGCAGAGUGUACUGUUAUGUUGAAUUUCAAAUUUGUGCAGUAAAGUUGUAGGCUGACAUUGGCAACAAUUUCAGUUGGAAAGAGCGUUCUCCAGCAAUGGUUUUCAUCAUCACUUAGUACCACUAUUGCAACCAUAAAUUAGUUGUUUUUUUGUUGCUAAGAGAUUAAGGUUCAAUCUUCACUCCUGAUUGACCGUGUUGGUAGUCUACUUUAUAUUUUAGUUGAUUUUGAUGGACUGCAUUGUGAAAAUUUAUUACAAUUGUAAAAUACGUUUACUCUUUUGUAUCCCCCUGUUCUCAAACAAGUUAUAUAUCGAUGCAACUAAAAGGGUUUAAGUCGCUGACUCAA